rnacentral:rRNA from 1 species
UACGGGGGGGGCAAGCGUUGUUCGGAAUUACUGGGCGUAAAGGGCUCGUAGGCGGCCAACUAAGUCAGACGUGAAAUCCCUCGGCUUAACCGGGGAACUGCGUCUGAUACUGGUUGGCUUGAGUGUGGGAGAGGGAUGCGGAAUUCCAGGUGUAGCGGUGAAAUGCGUAGAUAUCUGGAGGAACACCGGUGGCGAAGGCGGCAUCCUGGACCAUUACUGACGCUGAGGAGCGAAGCCAGGGAGCAACGG